CCUACGGGAGGCAGCAGUGAGGAAUAUUGGUCAAUGGGCGGAAGCCUGAACCAGCCAAGUAGCGUGCAGGAUGACGGCCCUACGGGUUGUAAACUGCUUUUAUACGGGAAUAACGCGUCUUACGCGUAGGCCUUUGCAUGUACCGUAUGAAUAAGGACCGGCUAAUUCCGUGCCAGCAGCCGCGGUAAUACGGAAGGUCCGGGCGUUAUCCGGAUUUAUUGGGUUUAAAGGGAGCGUAGGCCGCAUGUCAAGCGUGCUGUGAAAUGUCCGGGCUCAACCCGGGCCUUGCAGCGCGAACUGGCGUGCUUGAGUCCGCGGAAAGCAGGCGGAAUUCGUCGUGUAGCGGUGAAAUGCUUAGAUAUGGCGAAGAACCCCGAUUGCGAAGGCAGCGUACCGGCUCCACACUGACGCUGAGGCACGAAAGCGUGGGUAUCGAACAGGAUUAGAUACCCGGGUAGUC
rnacentral:rRNA from 1 species